ensembl:lncRNA novel transcript
GUAACUGGUGACAUUUGAAAGAGACAUAUUGGACAGAAAUGACAUACGUGAAAGCUAAGAUACAAUAUAUUUAAUUUUCUAAGAAUUCAGUUCAAGGUAGUCUGCCUGGUUUCUCAAGUUCUGCAUGUUUCUUCAGUAGACUAAAUAAUGAUAAGGAAGCUGAGAUGUAGAGCUGAAGUGUCUUGCCCAAGAUCAUUUGUCUACCUAUGACCUGGCUCAACCCAGCUACAAGUUGUUAAUAAGAGGGAAGCAUAUCAGGAAAAUCUGAGUGCAAUGGUUUAGGAAUUGGGAAAGUAUAAAAGGUAUAGCACAACAGCACUAGACAACUGAGGUAGUCACCUACCUAAGGAGAGAUGCCAAGGACAAGUUGGCCAGCUAAACACUUUCUCCAGAAAUGGGAUUUAUAGUUUUGCUAAUUUCUUUAAUAUCAGAAGACAGCUGGAUUCUCAUUUCUGCUUCUGCAUUCAGUCUAUUGUGAUAUAGCAUAUCAUGUAACUUCUGAAAAACUUCACUGUACACAGUAUUACUAUUUUUAGAUGCUGACCUCACAGACUCCCUGAAAGGAUCUCCAUGACCUCUAUGGUUCCUUAGACUGCACUUUGAGAACUAUUGACGUACAGGGAAAAAUGCUCUUGGUGUUCCAGUUAAGCACAGAAUAAAAUCUGGACUGUGUCAGUUUGUAAAGAUCUUAUGUCUACUUGGUCAUCAGCCAAGAAGGGAUUCCGAAGAUAGAAGAGGAGGCAUCAACACCGUGAACAUCAUGGCUGAGUUAUUUUGUGAGAGGGAUAAGCCUAAAGUAAAAACCUUGGAUUUGCCUCUGUCCUUGAACAUGCUAUCUGGAAAGAGUUUUCUUAAAAGUAUUGUUGUGAACACAUCCAUUUUCCCAGUAUAGUUGAAUGCAGGGUUUAAUAAAUGGAAUGAAUCU